GAGACAAUCACUUUUAAGUGUAAAAUCAGAAGAGUUAAGGCAAGAAACAAGAUGCUACCAGCAAGAUAUUAAAAAGCAAUAAUAUUUCAGAGGCUUAAUCUCUCCACGUCUCUUUUAAGCUCAGGUACAUAGCAGGCUCCCAAAGGUGUCUGAGCCUAAGUAGGGUGUUCAGGAUUGUUUUUCCUUGCCACCAUGGUUGGUGUCAAAGGAAGUGGAUGGUUCACUUGGAGAACCCAUGUGCUGGAGACCCAGCCUUUGUUCUGAUUCUGUUUGCUGUGGCAGCGAACUUGAACAUUUGCAGCAGCACUAGUACCUAAAGCCAGGAGCCUGGCACCUCUCCCUGAAGCCUGAACCAGAUCCUGGGCAGUGGUGUGCCUUUCAAAUCUUAUCCUUGGCUCCUGGGACUACUGAUUGUUUGGGGACAUCCGAAAUCACUCAGGAUUGUGGUGACCAGUUGAACAGAGAUAUGCCAAAAGCAGGCAGUGAUUUAUAUCCCUGCAGAAGGAGUCUCGCCCUGUCACCAGGCUGGAGUGCGAUGGUGCAAUCUCUGCUCACUGCAACUUCCACCUCCCGGGUUCAAAUUUCUCCUGCCUCAGCCUCCUAAGUGGCUGGGACUACAGGUGCCUGCCGCCAUGCCUGGCUAAUUUUUUGUAUUUUAGUAGAGAUGGGGUUUAGGCUGGUCUCGAACUCCUGAGCUCAGGCAAUCUGCCCUCCUGAGCUCAGGCAAUCUGCCUGCCUGGGCCUCCCAAAGUGCUAGGAUUACAGGCAUGAGCCACCGCCCUCAGCCACUAUCUUAUUUUUUAGCCUAUCUGAAUUAAAAACAUAAAGUCUUCUCUAUGUAUGUUGAUGAUAAACUUUGGGUUUCAAGGAAAAGAGUCACUCAGGCAACUUCCAAGAAUGGGAGGGGAGAAGGGGUUGUUAUAGGAUACAGUGGAAAUAAAUCUGGGAGGAAUCUCAAUCAUGUUCCAAGAGCUUGCAGGGGCCCAGAGAAAUUCUCACAAUGAGGCCUCACAGGAAAAGCAAGAACACCGACAGCAGGAAAGCUUGGAGGCUAAGAGUUCCCUUGGAAGUUGAACUACUGCCUGAGAAUAUUAAAACAAAAACAGAAACACGUAAAUAGCCAGCCCUGAAACGAGCCUCUCAACUUCUGAUAGGUUAUAUUUACAUUUAUGUACUUUCCUAUCACAGUUUAUAAUCAAGCUAAGGCUAGUAGCCUUGAAUAUUUUUAGGGCUGCAAUUUGUACAUCAUCUAAGCUAACAGAUGAAAAGUGCAAGUGUAGUUGCCUAAGCACAGGUACAUUCGUUCAACAACAAAUCUUUACCUGAAUGUCCAUUGUAUGUCCGACGCUGUCCUGUAUCCUGGGGUGGCAGCCUGGGGACCUGAGAGGACUUUGAGUGGAGCUAAAGAAACAGAAAAUAACUUCAACUAAUAAAUGUCUUUUAAUAUCUCUUGCAAUGGAAAUUUUCAGUGGCUUAAUUUUUUUACUUGUCUACUUCGAAGGUGAAGUUACUCACAGGCAGGUUUCUUAGUUUACAGACUUAGCUUUUCUUCCACUCCCAGCGUAUUAUCAUUUAUCAACUAUUGUCAUUGAAUGUCCUUACACCAGGCAUGGUAGAUGGCUUUUCAGCUUCCAGGCAUCAUGUUGUGUCUUUUUAUUCUUCAAUGGUAUUGCUUUAAAUUGUAGGCAUCCUUGUAAUGGGUUUUCUUCUUUUUCUGACCCAUAAAAAAUUUCUGAUAAUAUUUGUUGAACUCUGAUCCCAUUAAAUUAAAAUUUUAGUUAUUAAAAGACAAGGUGUCACUUUUCUCAAUCUUAGAAACAGAUGAGGUCAGCUGCACUCCCUGCCCU
rnacentral:lncRNA from 10 species